rnacentral:ncRNA from 1 species
CGAAUUUGGGUUAAUUAAUUAAUUGUAAUUAGCAAAAUGUCAAGUUAAAUAGUAUAUACAAUUAUAACCAAUAGAAUGCAAGUUCCCCUAAUCAUGACAAUCUAACUCGCCCCGUGGGUAUUCAUUUGUCCGAACCCACUCCGAUUUGGACGGGAAAAACUCGUGUUUAUCAGGUUCGGGUUCGAGUUUUUCCCGAUAGAUAAAAUCGGGGACGAGGGCGAGGACGGGGAUGUCAAUUCUUUCCUGUACACGCCCUGCCCACGCCUCGCUUAAUAAUAUAAUUAAAAAAUUAUUUAUAUAUAUUUAAAUAGGUAGUACGGUGUGGCUGCUUUGUUGAGCCACUCCAUGGAAUCGAUAGCUCCAAGUGGGCCAUUUUUGGUAAGCAGAACUGGCGAUGCGGGAUGAACCGGAAGCUGGGUUACGGUGCCCAACUGCGCGCUAACCUAGACCCCACAAAGGGUGUUGGUCGAUUAAGACAGCAGGACGGUGGUCAUGGAAGUCGAAAUCCGCUAAGGAGUGUGUAACAACUCACCUGCCGAAUCAACUAGCCCCGAAAAUGGAUGGCGCUAAAGCGCGCGACCUAUACCCGGCCGUCGAGGCAAGAGCCAAGCCUCGAUGAGUAGGAGGGCGCGGCGGUCGCUGUAAAACCCAGGGCGUGAGCCCGGGCGGAGCGUUCGUCGGUGCAGAU